rnacentral:rRNA from 1 species
AGUCUGGUGCCAGCAGCCGCGUAAUUCCAGCUCUAAUAGCGUAUAUUAAAGUUGUUGCAGUUAAAAAGCUCGUAGUUGGAUUUCGGCGUGCGCUCAGGCUGGUCGGCCGUCAUGGUCUGUACCGUUUGGGUCACGCCCCACUGUAGGAUACUCACCGCUGUCCUUAACUGGGUGGCGGUCAAAGGUUGUAGUACCAUCCGGGGGCAACUCUGGGUUAUUACCGCUGGGGUUCCUACUCUUUUACUUUGAGCAAAUUAGAGUGUUCAAAGCAGGCAAUCGAGCCUUGAAUACUUCAGCAUGGGAUAAUGGAACAGGACUGGGAUCCUGAUUUCGUUGGUUUCUAGGGUCUUAGUAAUGAUUAAUAGGGAUAGUUGGGGGCAUUAGUAUUUAAUUGUCAGAGGUGAAAUUCUUGGAUUUAUGAAAGACUAACUUCUGCGAAAGCAUUUGCCAAGGAUGUUUUCAUUAAUCAAGAACGAAAGUUAGGGGAUCGAAGACGAUCAGAUACCGUCGUAGUCUUAACCAUAAACGAUGCCGACCAGCGAUUGGGAGACGUUAUAUAUAUGACUCCCCCAGCAGCUUGCGAGAAAUCACAAGUCUUUGGGUUCCGGGGGGAGUAUGGUCGCAAGGCUGAAACUUAAAGGAAUUGACGGAAGGGCACCACCAGGAGUGGAGCCUGCGGCUUAAUUUGACACAACACGGGGAAACUUACCAGGUCCAGACAUAGUAAGGAUUGACAGAUUUGAGAGCUCUUUCUUGAUUCUAUGGGUGGUGGUGCAUGGCCGUUCUUAGUUGGUGGAGUGAUUUGUCUGGUUAAUUCCGUUAACGAACGAGACCUUAACCUGCUAAAUAUGUCACUGAUAGACUUCUACCAAAACAGGCGGGUGUUUAGGGUGAAGUUUCGAUGGAGCCCGACGCAUUCGUCUGUGGAUGACUAUCAGGAUGUACUUCUUAGAGGGACUAUCUGUAUCAAAGCAGAUGGAAGUUUGAGGCAAUAACAGGUCUGUGAUGCCCUUAGAUGUUCUGGGCCGCACGCGCGCUACACUGAUAAGUUCAACGAGUUUAACACCUUGCUCGAUAGGGCUGUAAUCUUUGAAAAACUUAUCGUGAUGGGGAUAGAUCAUUGUAAUUAUUGGUCUUCAACGAGGAAUUCCUAGUAAGCGUGAGUCAUCAGCUCGCGUUGAUUACGUCCCUGCCCUUUGUACACACCGCCCGUCGCUCCUACCGAUUGAAUGAUGAGGUGAAAUGUUGGGAGCUGGGGCUUUUUGACGGCGGGGCAACUCGUCGCCAGAGGUUCUGCAAACUUCAUUAAACCUUUUCAUUUAGA